GUCGAGCGGUAGCACASAGAGAGCUUGCUCUCUGGGUGACGAGCGGCGSACKGGUGAGUAAUGUCUGGGAAACUGCCUGAUGGAGGGGGAUAACUACUGGAAACGGUAGCUAAUACCGCAUAACGUCUUCGGACCAAAGUGGGGGACCUUCGGGCCUCACGCCAUCAGAUGUGCCCAGAUGGGAUUAGCUAGUAGGUGGGGUAAUGGCUCACCUAGGCGACGAUCCCUAGCUGGUCUGAGAGGAUGACCAGCCACACUGGAACUGAGACACGGUCCAGACUCCUACGGGAGGCAGCAGUGGGGAAUAUUGCACAAUGGGCGCAAGCCUGAUGCAGCCAUGCCGCGUGUGUGAAGAAGGCCUUCGGGUUGUAAAGCACUUUCAGCGAGGAGGAAGGGUUCAGUGUUAAUAGCACUGUACAUUGACGUUACUCGCAGAAGAAGCACCGGCUAACUCCGUGCCAGCAGCCGCGGUAAUACGGAGGGUGCAAGCGUUAAUCGGAAUUACUGGGCGUAAAGCGCACGCAGGCGGUUUGUUAAGUCAGAUGUGAAAUCCCCGCGCUUAACGUGGGAACUGCAUUUGAAACUGGCAAGCUAGAGUCUUGUAGAG
rnacentral:rRNA from 1 species